GACGAACGCUGUCGGCGUGCUUAACACAUGCAAGUCGAACGGAGUGGCUACCGGGUGAGUAACCCGGGGGUGACCAGCCCUGCACUUCGGGAUAACCCCGGGGAACUGGGUCUAAUACCGGCUAGGGGGGGAGGGGCCGGCGGCCUAUCAGCUUGUUGGUGGGGUAAUGGCCUACCAAGGCGGCGACGGGUAGCCGGCCUGAGAGGGUGGACGGCCACCUGGGGCCUGAGACACGGCCCAUACUCCUACGGGAGGCAGCGGUGGGGAAUCGUGCACAAUGGGCGGACGCCUGCGGCAGCGACGCCGCGUGGGGGAUGACUGCCUGCGGGUUGGCAACUCCUUUCACCCUCGACGCGGUAGAUGGAGAAGAAGCACCGGCUAACUACGUGCCAGCAGCCGCGGUAAUUC
rnacentral:rRNA from 1 species